AACGAACGCUGGCGGCAUGCCUAACACAUGCAAGUCGAACGAGACCUUCGGGUCUAGUGGCGCACGGGUGCGUAACGCGUGGGAACCUGCCCUUAGGUUCGGAAUAACUCCCCGAAAGGGGUGCUAAUACCGGAUAAUGUCUUCGGACCAAAGAUUUAUCGCCUUUGGAUGGGCCCGCGUUGGAUUAGCUAGUUGGUAGGGUAAAAGCCUACCAAGGCGACGAUCCGUAGCUGGUCUGAGAGGAUGAUCAGCCACACUGGGACUGAGACACGGCCCAGACUCCUACGGGAGGCAGCAGUGGGGAAUAUUGGACAAUGGGCGAAAGCCUGAUCCAGCAAUGCCGCGUGUGUGAUGAAGGCCUUAGGGUUGUAAAGCUCUUUUACCCGGGAUGAUAAUGACAGUACCGGGAGAAUAAGCUCCGGCUAACUCCGUG
rnacentral:rRNA from 1 species